rnacentral:rRNA from 1 species
GCACAGCCAUAAACUUCGAUAGAAAUCUACAACCUCUAUCCGCCUGGGAACUACGAGCAUAAGCUUAAAACCCAAAGGACUUGGCGGUGCUUUAGACCCCCCUAGAGGAGCCUGUUCUAGAACCGAUAACCCCCGUUUGACCUCACCUUUUCUUGUCCACCCCGCCUAUAUACCGCCGUCGUCAGCAUACCCUGUGAAGGAAACAUAGUAAGCAAAACUGGUAAAACCCAAAACGCCAGGUCGAGGUGUAGCGCACGAAAAGGAAAGAAAUGGGCUACAUUUCCUUCCCCAGGAAAUACGAAUUGUGCCAUGAAACAACACAUGAAGGAGGAUUUAGCAGUAAGCAGAAAACAGAGCGUUCCGCUGAACCUGGCCCUGAAGCGCGC